CCUACGGGAGGCAGCAGUGAGGAAUAUUGGUCAAUGGACGAGAGUCUGAACCAGCCAAGUAGCGUGAAGGAUGACUGCCCUAUGGGUUGUAAACUUCUUUUAUAUGGGAAUAAAAUGUUCCACGUGUGGGAUUUUGUAUGUACCAUAUGAAUAAGGAUCGGCUAACUCCGUGCCAGCAGCCGCGGUAAUACGGAGGAUCCGAGCGUUAUCCGGAUUUAUUGGGUUUAAAGGGAGCGUAGGUGGAUUGUUAAGUCAGUUGUGAAAGUUUGCGGCUAAACCGUAAAAUUGCAGUUGAAACUGGCAGUCUUGAGUACAGUAGAGGUGGGCGGAAUUCGUGGUGUAGCGGUGAAAUGCUUAGAUAUUACGAAGAACUCCGAUUGCGAAGGCAGCUUACUGGACUGCAACUGACACUGAGGCUCGAAAGUGUGGGUAUCAAACAGGAUUAGAUACCCCAGUAGUC
rnacentral:rRNA from 1 species